rnacentral:rRNA from 1 species
CCUACGGGAGGCAGCAGUAGGGAAUCUUCCACAAUGGACGAAAGUCUGAUGGAGCAACGCCGCGUGAGUGAUGAAGGUUUUCGGAUCGUAAAACUCUGUUGUAAGGGAAGAACAAGUACGAGAGGGAAUGCUCGUACCUUGACGGUACCUUGCGAGAAAGCCACGGCUAACUACGUGCCAGCAGCCGCGGUAAUACGUAGGUGGCAAGCGUUGUCCGGAAUUAUUGGGCGUAAAGCGCGCGCAGGCGGCCUUUUAAGUCUGAUGUGAAAGCCCCCGGCUCAACCGGGGAGGGUCAUUGGAAACUGGAAGGCUUGAGUACAGAAGAGAAGAGUGGAAUUCCAUGUGUAGCGGUGAAAUGCGUAGAGAUGUGGAGGAACACCAGUGGCGAAGGCGACUCUUUGGUCUGUAGCUGACGCUGAGGCGCGAAAGCGUGGGGAGCAAACAGGAUUAGAUACCCUGGUAGUCCACGCCGUAAACGAUGAGUGCGUAGUGGUUGGGGUUUCCGGUCCCGUCCGUACGUGUCGUGAGACGUAACGACGAUUAAGACACCUCCGUCCGUCGGGGACGGUACCGGGCCGGCCGAACGGACGUACGAAACCGUAACCGAAAGUAAGUAAGUUAGUACGGACGUGAGACGUACGACCGAACGGACGACCGACGAGGGGAGGAGGG